rnacentral:tRNA from 1 species
UCCCUCAUAGCUCAGUUGGUAAAGAAUCUGCCUGCAGUGCAGAAGACCCGGGUUCAAGUCCUGGGUCGGAA